AGGAGUUUGGAAUCCUGGCUCAGAACGAACGCUGGCGGCAUGCCUAACACAUGCAAGUCGAACGAGACCUUCGGGUCUAGUGGCGCACGGGUGCGUAACGCGUGGGAAUCUGCCCUUGGGUUCGGAAUAACUUGGAGAAAUUCAAGCUAAUACCGGAUAAUGACGUAAGUCCAAAGAUUUAUCGCCCUAGGAUGAGCCCGCGUAAGAUUAGCUAGUUGGUGGGGUAAAGGCCUACCAAGGCGACGAUCUUUAGCUGGUCUGAGAGGAUGAUCAGCCACACUGGGACUGAGACACGGCCAGACUCCUACGGGAGGCAGCAGUGGGGAAUAUUGGACAAUGGGCGAAAGCCUGAUCCAGCAAUGCCGCGUGAGUGAUGAAGGCCUUAGGGUUGUAAAGCUCUUUUACCCGGGAUGAUAAUGACAGUACCGGGAGAAUAAGCCCCGGCUAACUCCGUGCCAGCAGCCGCGGUAAUACGGAGGGGGCUAGCGUUGUUCGGAAUUACUGGGCGUAAAGCGCACGUAGGCGGCUAUUCAAGUCAGGGGUGAAAGCCCGGAGCUCAACUCCGGAACUGCCUCUGAAACUAGGUAGCUUGAAUCAUGGAGAGGCGAGUGGAAUUCCGAGUGUAGAGGUGAAAUUCGUAGAUAUUCGGAAGAACACCAGUGGCGAAGGCGGCUCGCUGGACAUGUAUUGACGCUGAGGUGCGAAAGCGUGGGGAGCAAAC
rnacentral:rRNA from 1 species